GUGUUUCCUGAUCAGCUGGAUCAUCUUCGGUAUCGCACUUCGGAUCUGGUGGCUUUCCUCCGCUGAAACGCC
rnacentral:tRNA from 1 species